UACGUAGGCAGCAAGCGUUGUUCGGAAUUACUGGGCGUAAAGAGUGUGUAGGCGGUGUUCUAAGUUUGCUGUGAAAUCUCCCGGCUUAACCGGGAGGGUGCGGUGAAUACUGAGGGACUAGAGUACGGGAGAGGAAAGUGGAAUUCCUGGUGUAGCGGUGAAAUGCGUAGAUAUCAGGAGGAACACCGGUGGUGUAGACGGCUUUCUGGACCGUAACUGACGCUGAGACACGAAAGCGUGGGUAGCAAACAGG
rnacentral:rRNA from 1 species